GGACUUCCGGACGCGGCCCUGCCCCGGGAACUGCGGGUGUUCAGGACCCUGUGGUGCGCGGGACGCCGCCCGCGCAUGCGCCGCGCCGGCUCAGCCCCGUUUUCGCAAGCUCUGCGUGGUCUUGGGUGGCGAGUUCGAGCCUUAGAACGGCCGAGUGCCCUGGAACCGGUUUCGGCUCUGGCGUCCUCGCGUGUCCUCCGGCUCCAGGUUACAACGUCAGUAUUGGCGCCUUGGCGCGGUCCCGUCCUGCUCUCGUCCUCCGUUCCGUGGACCCCGGGGCUGUUCUGGCGCCUCGCAGGCCGGGCCCCUCCCAUCGACUCGAUGGGCAGGGCUCUGCGAGGCUCGGGGACCGGGGACGCGCGGCCUUCCUGACAAGGAGCCCGAGGGUCUGCACAGCCUGGGGCACCACCCGGCCUGGUGAGGAUGAUCGCUGUGCGCGCGAUGCACAUGCGCCCUCAACACCUCUGCACAUUCAUGCACGUGUCCAUACAUGGGUGCACACACGUCCUUACACGUAUGUACAUACGCAUGUGUACACACGCCCAUGUCUACACGCGCACAUGUCUGCACACGAGUCACACGUGCAAGUGCACGCAUGGAUGGUGGACACGCGUUUACACACGUGAAUAUGUGUAUACACAUGCAGACACAUGUGCCUGCCCACAUGGAUGUGUGCACAAACAAGCACAGAGGUCCUCAGUGGCUCACUCCUGGUGGCCGUGUGCUGUGGGCUGGGAAUGGCCAUACUCAUUUCUCAGAGCUUUUGAGUUGUGUGUGUUUCCAGUUGUGCAUAUUAAUUAGAAAAAACAAAAGUGAAUUUGUAGGUUAAGGCAGGUCCUUAAGUUUCCUUAAUUUCCUCUCCCUGGAGACCUGGCAGGCUGGGCCGGGCACUGCUGCGGAAGGCCAGCCGCACCCUGAGUCAGGUCUUCUCCAGAAGGUUCAGGGCAAGCUCUGGAUUACAGAUAGGAAACCAAAUGCAUGAGGAAGGCACUGCUCACCCUGCAAUGACGGUCAAGGUGUGGGGUGGGGAGCAGCAGCCUGGAGGUCAGAGCCAGGACCUUGGGGGCUGAGAGUGGUGUGCUUGCCUGGUGAUCUUCAGCAAUGGGAGGCCUGGUGUCACCCUGGGGCCCAGACUGUGAAGGACUGGUGGCUUUGGGGAUCUGCGUGAUCCAGGGGGCCCAAGCAUCUGCCCAGCCGGCAUUCUGUGCACUGCCCACCUGCCUGUGUUGUCAACGAGGACGGGGUUUGCUAAAAUGCAGAUUCUUGCCUCUUCCCUAGUCUGAGUCCAGGGUCUGUGGUCAGGCCUGGGAAUCUGUAUUCAUUGAGGCCCUUUGGGUCCCGCCAUCAUAGCAGCCUGUCUUUACUUUGGGUGGAGGUCGGAGGUCUGCACAUCACCCAGGAGGCUUACCAGUGGUAACCCAAGAAGAGGGAAGAUGGCAAGAGGGUCUUUGCAGGGUUGGGAGGGCAAGGAUGGAAGGACCUGGGAGGCCACAGCACCCUCUCGGACUUGGCGCAGAACCCGUGGAAACAGCCUGCGAUGCACGGAUGGAGGUGGCUUUGCCCUGUGUCUGCUGGUGCCUCUGGAACUCCGGCUCUGACAGACGCUGCGUCUCCUGCUGACUGCUGCAUCCCAAGAUGAGCCCAGCGCUUGCACACAGGGCGUCCCAAAGUGUUUGUUGAACAAAGGCAUGAUCAGUGUUGGUAUUGCCCUGAGACUCAUGCCCUCAGCCCCGAUUCGGGCACAUGGCUCAUGUCAACCGCUGGAAGUCCCUCUGGGGCCCACAAAUGUCUCUAGACCACAGGAAGAGUCGGCCUGGCUCCAUGUGCCUGGCGCCUGGGGCAGAAAGGUGGACGGGGCAAUCAGAGUGGUCACCAUCGGGGAGUACACUUUGCACUCCACUCGAGUCUCCAGGGAUAUAACUCACUGGAUCCUAAGUCUCACUUUCUGAGGGCCGUUCUUAGAGUCUCCUGUAUGAAAUCAGGCUACAUCCAGAGAAAGUUCCAGAAAUAAGAAAAGAUGAGAUCGCCUACUGACCCUCCCAUUUUUUGCACACGGACACUGAGGGAGGGGAGGAACUUGCUCAAGGGCACCACACAAUUUUUUUUUGAGAUGGAGUCUCAAAGAUGGAGAAUUCCUCCAACCAUGAGGAAUUUGAACGCUUAUCCCGAAUAGUGGAAAAUGAACGUCUCAUGGAGUUAGGGCCUGUCACCACCUGGGGAUCUACAGUCAGACAUGGCAUAGAGGAUGCCCUCCCAGAUCCCGCUCUGUCUCCCAGACUGGAGUGCAGUAGUGCCACCUUGGCUCACUGCAACCUCCGUCUUCCGGAUUCAAGCGAUUCUCUGGCCUUAGCCUCCUGAGUAGAUGGGAUUACAGGCGCACACCACCACACCCGGCUAAUUUUGUAUUUUUACUAGAGAUGGGGCUUCACCAUGUUGGCCAGGCUGGUCUUGAACUCCUGACCUCAAGUGAUCCACCUGCCUCAGUCUCCCAAAGUGCUGGGAUCACAGGCAUGAGCCAACAUACCCAGCCCACCCCAUGAGUUAUUGCUAGAGUGGUGGGGUAGGGACCCGGCCCCCAGCUCUCAGUGCUGGACAUGGGCAGGGUGGGCAUGGGUUCCCUUCCAGCCCUGGCAGAGCCCUGGACCAUGCGUGCUUUUCCCCUCAAGUGUCGAGGCAGGCAGGGCUGCUGCAUAGAAUACAAGAUGCCCCAUUGAGAUGGAAUCUCAGACAAAUGAGUCAUGUUUUACUGUAAGCAUAUCCCAAAUAUUUCAUGGGACACACUUAUACUAAAACUUAUUCAUUGUUUAUCUGAGCUUCAAAUGUAGUGGAGUGCCCUGUAUUUUUAUUUGCUAAAUUUGGCAGCCCUAGUAACGGGAGCUGGAAGGCUUUUGUUAUUUGCCCUCAAGCAGCAUUUCCUGGCAUUGGCUUCAGUGACCAGUUGUCUCUUGAAAUGUCCCAUGGACAGAAGGGAAGAAAACUGGGAAAUACUGUGUUAAAUAAACUUGCACAAUUCCUUUUUUUUUUUCUUUAAAGAAAAGCCUAGCCGGGCGUGGUGGCUCACACCUGUAAUCCCAGCACUUUGGGAGGCCAAGAAGGGCGGCUCACAAGGUCAGGAGUUUGAGACUAUCCUGGCCAAUGUGUUGAAACCCCAUCUCUACUAAAAAUAAAAAAAUUAGCUGGGUGUGGUGUCGGGUGCCUGUAAUCCCAGCUACUUGGGAGGCUGAGGCAGGAGAAUUGCUUGAACCCAGGCGGGAGGUUGCAGUGAGCUGAGAUCACGCCGCUGCACUCCAGCCUGGGCAACAGAGUGAGACUCCGUCUCAAAAAAAAAGAAAAGAAAAGAAAAGAAAAAAGCCUAUUAGUUGGCAGGAGGGCUUAUGAAAAUGAGGCCUGGGGGAUGUGUCAUUUACUCAACUGUCUUGGCUAAUGGGAUCUCUAGGCUGGUGAGGUUGCGUUCUGUGUUUUUUUUUUUUUUUUUUUUUUUUUUUGAGACGGUGUCUCGCUCUGUUGCUGAGGGUGGAGUGCAGUGGUGCGAUCUCGGCUCGCUGCAACCUCUGCCUCCCAGGUUCAAGCAAUUCUCAUGCCUCAGCCUCCAGAGUAGCUGGGAUUACAGGCAUGUGCCACCAUGCCCAGCUACUUUUUUGUGUUUUUUCUAGAGACAGGAUUUCACCAUGUUGGCCAGGUUGGUCUCGAACUCCUGACCUCGAGUGAUCCGCCCACCUUGGCCUCCCAGAGUGCUGGGAUUAUAGGCGUGAGGCACCGCUCCUGGCUGUGUUCUAUGUUCUGUAAAGGAAAACAGUGCAGGUAGGAGAAAAGAGGGGCCUGGGAAGGGAAGAAAACAGCAGGGAAGAGGAGGGCUGAAGACAGAGCAGGAGGAAGGCUGAGUGGCUUUAGCUCUUUGGCCUAACCCAGACCAGUCAGAGUUCACUCUGGGCACCUCCCAGUGGCAGCCACUUGAUUUGCAGGCAAAGAGCUUGGAGACCGGCUCUGCAAAUUCAGCCUUAUCCAUGUCCACAUGGGUAUGGCCCCGGAAAGCACUCAACAAAUAUGCACUAAAUGGAUGACUUCAGGCAGUGAUCCAGAUUAUUCAGAGCAGAAAGCUGCUUGGGCUCUGAUUACAGAAAAGUACUCCCCGCUCAUCCGGAUGCAGGGAUACCUUCCAAGACCCCCUGUGGAGGCCUGAAACUGUGGAUUGUACCGAACUGUAGAAAUACAGUACUGUUUUUUUUUCCUAUACAUACAUACCUAUGAUAAAGCUAGGCACAGUAAGAGAUUAACAGUAAUUACUAAUGAUAAACAGAACGAUUGCCACAAUAUACUGCUGUAAUAAAGUUAGUGUGUGUGAUCUCUCUUUCACAAUAUCCUAGUGUUCCAUGCUCACCUAGUUUCCGGCCACUAUUGACCGUGGGUACCUGAAAUUGCAGAAAGCAGAAACUCAGAUAAGCAGGGACUACUGUACUCUUUUUUUUUUUGAGACAGAGUCUCGCUCUCACCCAGGCUGGAGUGCAGUGGUGUGAUCUCGGCUCGCUGCAACCUCUGCCUCCCAGGUUCAA
rnacentral:lncRNA from 1 species